rnacentral:rRNA from 1 species
AGUGAACGCUGGCGGUAGGCCUAACACAUGCAAGUCGAACGGCAGCACAGUAAGAGCUUGCUCUUACGGGUGGCGAGUGGCGGACGGGUGAGGAAUACAUCGGAAUCUACUUUUUCGUGGGGGAUAACGUAGGGAAACUUACGCUAAUACCGCAUACGACCUACGGGUGGAAGCAGGGGAUCUUCGGACCUUGCGCGAUUGAAUGAGCCGAUGUCGGAUUAGCUAGUUGGCGGGGUAAAGGCCCACCAAGGCGACGAUCCGUAGCUGGUCUGAGAGGAUGAUCAGCCACACUGGAACUGCGACACGGUCCAGACUCCUACGGGAGGCAGCAGUGGGGAAUAUUGGACAAUGGGCGCAAGCCUGAUCCAGCCAUACCGCGUGGGUGAAGAAGGCCUUCGGGUUGUAAAGCCCUUUUGUUGGGAAAGAAAAGCAGCAGGUUAAUACCCCGCUGUUCUGACGGUACCCAAAGAAUAAGCACCGGCUAACUUCGUG